CUGGCGUAGCUCCUCAUCGGGGAUCUUGCCCUGCCGCUUCUUCUUGUAGUCAAAGUCCAGGCGGCGGCCCUCCAGUUUCUUCAGGUGGUGCUGGAGACGUGGGGGACAUGGGUCACACCAGUAGCGGCCAGAGGGCCGCCCCACGCAUGGCUUUGACCCACUGUCCCUGCACCACUGGGGAUCCUGCCUGCCUGAGACCCAGAGGGCAGUGCCGAGGCUGGAGGUUCUGGAGGGGGUCAAUGAAGUUCUGCUUGACCUCGAUGUCCAGGGAGUCCUUCACCUCUGCCAGGCGCUUCAUGGACUCGCCGGCAUCCAGCAAUGCGUCACCUGUGGAGAAGUGGUGGGGGAAGCCAUCAUACCGGGCCUGGGACCACUAGACUGAGACACUCCUCAGCCUUUGUUUUUGAAAUAGCGUUUCACAGGCUGGAACGCAGUGGCGCUGUACCAGCUCACUGCAGGCCUCAAACUGGGCUCAAGCCAUGCUGGCACCUCAGCCUCCCAAGUAGCCGGGACCACAGGCGUUCACCCCCACACCUGGAUCCUUUCCAACUUCUUUGAGAUGAAGUCUCGCUGUUGCCCAGGCUGCAGUGCAGUGGCAUGAUCUCAGCUCACUGCAACCUCUGCCUCCCAGGUUCAAGCAAUUCUCCUGUCUCAGCCUCCUGAGUAAGGGGGAUUACAGGGGCCUGCCACCACAUCCAGCUAAUUUUUGUAUUUUUAAUAGAGACGGGGUUUCACCAUAUAGACCA
ensembl:lncRNA novel transcript, antisense to SH3GL1